UUCUAUUUUUCUGAAUCGCCCAGAUACCGAUGUCUGUUUACUGAAUGCAGUUGUGAUUCUUCUCACAGAGCACAAGGAUUCUUCAGAUGAGAAAAGGAGCAGCAGAAAGGGCUCGGUUGAGAAGGCUAAUGAGCUCUCUGAUGCCGAGCCUCCCAAAGCGGACGUGAACGGCACCGCGCAAGAGCUACAUUCUGAAGGUGACACACAGUCCAAUUAAAACUGAUCUGAUAGGACCUCAGAUCAGCCCCAGGGGGAGUUCGAACAGCUGCAAGAGGAAGACCUGAAGACCUCCAUCUGACAAUUCAACUCCGCUGCUUUAAAACAAGGUGAACCACAGAUGUAGUGGCCUAUAUGAUAAAGAUGUAAAUGUAAAAUGGUUCUGUAGCCCUUUUUCAAUGUUUCCACAGGACCUUUCUUGUGUUUGUUUGGUUUUCUUUGGGCUUACUGCUAUAAGCUGGCAUAGAUGCACAUGCAGGUCCACCAUUAUUUCUGUUAGUCUGCAUUCAGAGAACACUUGUGGCAUGUUUGCUCUGUACAGUCCGCUCUCACUUUACACAUUGGAAUUAUUGAAGAUCGGUUUUGUUCAGUAUUUUGUCUGCUUUAUCUUUUUAUUUUCCCCUCUGUAUGCUAAAUCCCAAAUCUUUAUACGAUUUUAGUUUAGAGAAGUGUUUUCAUUUUGUUCCAGUUUUAAAACCUGUAUUUGUCAUGAAUAAAAAUGAAGAAAAAAU